rnacentral:lncRNA from 1 species
CCUGCUUCUACAGUGCCAGGGUUCAUCGCCCACUUGGCAUUCUGCUUGCAUAGCCUUAUUCCAUGGUGUCUCCCUAACACCCACCUGUGCUUCGGUGUCACUGGGUCAUCCUAUUCCAACCUCUCCCUCGGGUUUCAGCCACCCCUACCCCUGCUUUAAAGUCUGGCUUCCCUUGCUAAAGCCACACUGUGGCUAACCUGGCCCACCCGCUGCCCUUAGCCUUGCCAUCAGGUCCCCAUACCAUUGUGCUCUUCCUCCAUCCCCUCCACCUCCCUCCACCUCCCCAAACUCACCUCAGUUGCCAACAGCCUCCCCGUGCCUGUUGGACAAUCCCUUGCUGGUUCUUCAUCUCCCGUGGGCCUAGUUUCCAGGGGCUGAGUGACCAGGGUCUUAAAACAGGUUUAUGCCUUGGCCUGCUGGCCCUGGAGAUCCCAUCGUCGGCUUCGUCGAACUCAAAGUCGUCGCCCUACCCUGGCCCGUCGCGUCUUCCUGUGCCAUUUCCUGUUGUGCUCAGGUUCCACGAGCUGCCCAUCUCCAGAGAAGAGCAGCUGGCAUUGCCCACCGGCCGUGCUGGCUGAAGAAGAGAGGACAUGAGGACCCCAGGAUGCCCAGCGUGAGGACCCCAGGACACCCAGCGCGAGGACCCCAGGACGCCCAGCUCGAGGACCCCAGGACGCCCAGCGCGAGGACCCCAGGACGCCCAGCGCGAGGACCCCAGGACGCCCAGCGCGAGGACCCCAGGACGCCCAGCGCGAGGACUCCACAUCCUUACGUUGCAACCCUCCUGGAAUAGGCCAACAUCGUCAUCACCUGGAAUCCUGCGUGGGACCCUGGACACAUGGACACAGAGCCUGCCCAUAGGACCUUCCAACUGUAAAUCCUUCCACAGCCACGGGCACGCCUUGCACACUUCCUCUGGGACAGACAUGCUGGACCCAAGACUCUGGAUCCUGGCCUCCCCUUGAGUAGAGAGACCCACCUACUGACUGAUGAACUGCGCUGACCCUGGGGUCAGGCGUGUGGCCUUGAUCCCUGUCCAUGGACCCUGAGACUUGGGGGGAAGGCUGUUGAGUCUUCACUGUUGAGUCAACAUCUAUGAAAUGGGCUAAGGUUCCUACCUCACAGGGCUGUUGUGAGGCUCUUGCAAUGUGCUUAGAAGCAUGGGGCCUGGUGGCUCAUGGUGCUUUCAAUAAAUGUUUCUUGUUUUAACUAAAGU